UCCUCGGUGGUUCAGUGGUUAAGACUCUGAGCUCCUAAUGCAGGGGGCCCAGCUUCGAUCCCUGGUCAGGGAA
rnacentral:tRNA from 1 species